rnacentral:tRNA from 1 species
CAAGGUGCAGCUCAGUGGUAGAGUGCGUGCUUAGCAUGCACAAGGUUGUGGGUUCAAUCCCCAGUACCUCCA